UCCUCACAAAUGUAACAACCUUAAUGGUGACAUUUGCAGUGAAAUGUGAGGGGAUGGUCAUUCCUGCUGUGUGCCUCCAAUUCUGGUGCUAUUUCCAGGCGAGGACAAGAGGAUGAUCUUUGCAUUUUGCUCUGCUGCACAGGUGACACAGAAGGCCCAGGCUGUAGAACUGCUGGUUGUUUAAUCAGGAGAUCAGGAGACUCAGGGGGAGCCUUGCUGUUCUCUACAGCUCCCUGAAAGGAGGCUGCAGCCAGGUGGGAGCUGGUCUCUCCUCCCAGUAUUCACAGAACUGACUGUAGGAGCAAACUUUCUCUCUCCACACAUGAAGUGGAAAACUGUAGCCUGCUCUGCACUCCUGUCACACCCCAGCAGCUGGAAAACUGUUUUAGGUGAAGUGAUUUCUACAAUCUGUAGUUAACUUGAGCUGCAUUUGGAAACAUGGUGAUCGAUUAAGGAAUUCAAUGUUAAAUAGUCAGGUGAUAGAGCUGUGACCUGCUUUCAUAAAGCAGUGUCAAAACAAAUUUUUGUCCCAAAUGUUCAGAUGUUCUGUGUUUCAAUAAGUUGAUUUUAUUACCUGCCUUAUGUUAAAAUGAGUUUUACACCACCUAACAACUUCUUCAAAAGUAAAGUAAAAGUUAGGAUUUUGAAAUAAAGAAAUU